GAUGAACGCUGGCGGCGUGCCUAAUACAUGCAAGUCGAGCGAACAGACGAGGAGCUUGCUUCUUUGACGUUAGCGGCGGACGGGUGAGUAACACGUGGGUAACCUACCUAUAAGACUGGGAUAACUUCGGGGAACCGGAUCCAAUACCGGACAAGAUUGCGAACCGCAUGGUUCGUUAGUGAAAGAUGGAUUUGCUGUCACUUAUAGAUGGACCUGCGCCGGAUUAGCUAGUUGGUAAGGUAACGGCUUACCAAGGCAACGAUCCGUAGCCGACCUGAGGGGGUGAUCGGCCACACUGGAACUGAGACACGGUCCAGACUCCUACGGGAGGCAGCAGUAGGGAAUAUUCCGCAAUGGGCGAAAGCCUGACGGAGCAACGCCGCGUGAGUGAUGAAGGUCUUCGGAUCGUAAAGCACUGUUAGUAGGGAGGAACAGCAGUGAGAGAAACUCUGCACGUCUUGACGGUACCUAAAGAGAAAGCAACGGCUAACUACGUG
rnacentral:rRNA from 1 species